rnacentral:rRNA from 1 species
AGAGUUUGAUCCUGGCUCAGAGCGAACGCUGGCGGCAUGCUUAACACAUGCAAGUCGCACGAGGGGGCAACCCCUAGUGGCGGACGGGUGAGUAACGCGUAGGAAUCUGUCCACGGGUGGGGGAUAACAGCGGGAAACUGCUGCUAAUACCGCAUGAAACCUGAGGGUCAAAGGCGCGAGUCGCCUGUGGAGGAGCCUUC